rnacentral:rRNA from 1 species
GACGUAGGGAGCGAGCGUUGUCCGGAUUCAUUGGGCGUAAAGAGCGCGUAGGCGGCCGUGCAAGUCGGUUGUGAAAUCCCGGGGCUCAACCCCGGGACUGCGUCCGAUACUGCACGGCUCGAGGCAGGUAGGGGAGAGUGGAAUUCCCGGUGUAGCGGUGAAAUGCGCAGAUAUCGGGAGGAACACCUGCGGCGAAGGCGGUUACCUGGACAGUUACUGACGCUCAGGCACGAAAGCAUGGGGAGCAAAAGGG